rnacentral:rRNA from 1 species
GACGAACGCUGGCGGCGUGCUUAACACAUGCAAGUCGAACGGAAAGGCCCUGCUUUUGUGGGGUGCUCGAGUGGCGAACGGGUGAGUAACACGUGAGUAACCUGCCCUUGACUUUGGGAUAACUUCAGGAAACUGGGGCUAAUACCGGAUAGGAGCUCCUGCUGCAUGGUGGGGGUUGGAAAGUUUCGGCGGUUGGGGAUGGACUCGCGGCUUAUCAGCUUGUUGGUGGGGUAGUGGCUUACCAAGGCUUUGACGGGUAGCCGGCCUGAGAGGGUGACCGGCCACAUUGGGACUGAGAUACGGCCCAGACUCCUACGGGAGGCAGCAGUGGGGAAUAUUGCACAAUGGGCGGAAGCCUGAUGCAGCAACGCCGCGUGCGGGAUGACGGCCUUCGGGUUGUAAACCGCUUUCGCCUGUGACGAAGCGUGAGUGACGGUAAUGGGUAAAGAAGCACCGGCUAACUACGUGCCAGCAGCCGCGGUGAUACGUAGGGUGCGAGCGUUGUCCGGAUUUAUUGGGCGUAAAGGGCUCGUAGGUGGUUGAUCGCGUCGGAAGUGUAAUCUUGGGGCUUAACCCUGAGCGUGCUUUCGAUACGGGUUGACUUGAGGAAGGUAGGGGAGAAUGGAAUUCCUGGUGGAGCGGUGGAAUGCGCAGAUAUCAGGAGGAACACCAGUGGCGAAGGCGGUUCUCUGGGCCUUUCCUGACGCUGAGGAGCGAAAGCGUGGGGAGCGAACAGGCUUAGAUACCCUGGUAGUCCACGCUGUAAACGGUGGGUACUAGGUGUGGGGUCCAUUCCACGGGUUCCGUGCCGUAGCUAACGCUUUAAGUACCCCGCCUGGGGAGUACGGCCGCAAGGCUAAAACUCAAAGGAAUUGACGGGGCCCCGCACAAGCGGCGGAGCAUGCGGAUUAAUUCGAUGCAACGCGUAGAACCUUACCUGGGUUUGACAUGGAUCGGGAGUGCUCAGAGAUGGGUGUGCCUCUUUUGGGGUCGGUUCACAGGUGGUGCAUGGCUGUCGUCAGCUCGUGUCGUGAGAUGUUGGGUUAAGUCCCGCAACGAGCGCAACCCUUGUUCACUGUUGCCAGCACGUUAUGGUGGGGACUCAGUGGAGACCGCCGGGGUCAACUCGGAGGAAGGUGGGGAUGACGUCAAGUCAUCAUGCCCCUUAUGUCCAGGGCUUCACGCAUGCUACAAUGGCUGGUACAGAGAGUGGCGAGCCUGUGAGGGUGAGCGAAUCUCGGAAAGCCGGUCUCAGUUCGGAUUGGGGUAUGCAACUCGACCUCAUGAAGUCGGAGUCGCUAGUAAUCGCAGAUCAGCAACGCUGCGGUGAAUACGUUCCCGGGGCU